UACAGAGGUCCCAAGCGUUGUUCGGAUUCACUGGGCGUAAAGGGUCCGUAGGCGGUUUGGUAAGUCAGUGGUGAAAGCCCUUCGCUCAACGGAGGAACGGCCAUUGAUACUGCCAGACUUGAAUUACUGGGAAGUAACUAGAAUAUGUAGUGUAGCGGUGAAAUGCUUAGAUAUUACAUGGAAUACCAAUUGCGAAGGCAGGUUACUACCGGUGGAUUGACGCUGAUGGACGAAAGCGUGGGGAGCGAACAGG
rnacentral:rRNA from 1 species